UACGUAGGAUGCUAGCGUUGUCCGGAUUUACUGGGUGUAAAGGGAGCGCAGGCGGGAUGAUAAGUCGGUGGUGAAAUUUUCGGGCUUAACCCGAACACUGCCAUCGAUACUGUUGUUCUUGAGUACAGAAGAGGUUGAUGGAAUUCUAGGUGUAGCGGUGAAAUGCGUAGAUAUCUAGAAGAACACCGAUGGCGAAGGCAGUCAACUGGUCUGUUACUGACGCUCAUGCUCGAAAGCGUGGGGAU
rnacentral:rRNA from 1 species